CAUGCAAGUCGAACGGAAAGGCCCUUUCGGGGGUACUCGAGUGGCGAACGGGUGAGUAACACGUGGGUGAUCUGCCCUGCACUUUGGAAUAAGCCUGGGAAACUGGGUCUAAUACCGGAUAGGACUACGCGAUGCAUGUCGUGUGGUGGAAAGCUUUUGCGGUGUGGGAUGGGCCCGCGGCCUAUCAGCUUGUUGGUGGGGUGAUGGCCUACCAAGGCGACGACGGGUAGCCGGCCUGAGAGGGUGACCGGCCACACUGGGACUGAGAUACGGCCCAGACUCCUACGGGAGGCAGCAGUGGGGAAUAUUGCACAAUGGGCGCAAGCCUGAUGCAGCGACGCCGCGUGAGGGAUGACGGCCUUCGGGUUGUAAACCUCUUUCAGCUCCGACGAAGCGCAAGUGACGGUAGGGGUAGAAGAAGGACCGGCCAACUACGUGCCAGCAGCCGCGGUAAUACGUAGGGUCCGAGCGUUGUUCGGAAUUACUGGGCGUAAAGAGCUCGUAGGUGGUUUGUCGCGUUGUUCGUGAAAACUCACA
rnacentral:rRNA from 1 species